rnacentral:rRNA from 1 species
UGGGGAAUCUUGCACAAUGGRGGAAACUCUGAUGCAGCGAUGCSGCGUGAGUGAAGAAGGCCUUUGGGUUGUAAAGCUCUUUCGUCGGGGAAGAAAAUGACUGUACCMGAAUAAGAAGGUCCGGCUAACUUCGUGCCAGCAGCCGCGGUAAUAGAAGGGACCUAGCGUAGUUCGGAAUUACUGGGCUUAAAGAGUUCGUAGGUGGUUGAAAAAGUUGGUGGUGAAAUCCCAGAGCUUAACUCUGGAACUGCCAUCAAAACUUUUCAGCUAGAGUUUGAUAGAGGAAAGCAGAAUUUCUAGUGUAGAGGUGAAAUUCGUAGAUAUUAGAAAGAAUACCAAUUGCGAAGGCAGCUUUUUGGAUCAUUACUGACASUGAGGAACGAAAGCAUGGGUAGCGAAGAGGAUUAGAUACCCUCGUAGUCCAUGCCGUAAACGAUGUGUGUUAGACGUUGGAAAUUUAUUUUCAGUGUCGCAGCGA